GACGAACGCUGGCGGCGUGCUUAACACAUGCAAGUCGAACGGAAAGGCCCUGCUUUUGUGGGGUGCUCGAGUGGCGAACGGGUGAGUAACACGUGAGUAACCUGCCCUUGACUUUGGGAUAACUUCAGGAAACUGGGGCUAAUACCGGAUAGGAGCUCCUGCUGCAUGGUGGGGGUUGGAAAGUUUCGGCGGUUGGGGAUGGACUCGCGGCUUAUCAGCUUGUUGGUGGGGUAGUGGCUUACCAAGGCUUUGACGGGUAGCCGGCCUGAGAGGGUGACCGGCCACAUUGGGAAUGAGAUACGGCCCAGACUCCUACGGGAGGCAGAAGUGGGGAAUAUUGAACAAUGGGCGGAAGCCUGAUGCAGCAACGCCGCGUGCGGGAUGACGGCCUUCGGGUUGUAAACCGCUUUCGCCUGUGACGAAGCGUGAGUGACGGUAAUGGGUAAAGAAGCACCGGCUAACUACGUG
rnacentral:rRNA from 1 species